AUGUCCUCACCCCAUACUCUAAGAGUUUUAACAUCUACUGGUGGGCUUCCAAUGUGGAUGAUGCUUCUUCACCUCUACAUAAGCUAUGUUGUUGCAGAAGACAUCAGAGUAGUUGGACGUGUAGGAAACUCCAUAUUCCUUCACCCUAAAAUGCACUUACACGCCAAGAUCUCUGACAUAAGAUGGAAACAUGAUAAUACAGAUAUGUUAAUAGCUAGAAAUGGUACGCUUGUUAAUUUAAUGGAUAGGUGUGAGAUCUUUCUAAAUGGUUCACUGAAGUUUCAAGAAGGACUGAAAAGAGACAGUGGAAAUUAUACUGUUGAACAAUACAGUGAAAAUGGAGGCCGUUUAUCCGAGCGGCACAUUGAGCUCAGUAUUCUAGAACCUGUUUCCAAACCAAAGGUGAGAACCUCCUGUACUUUUGAUGGGAGAGUUGUUCUGACCUGCUCUGUUGAUAAAGGAGACAGAGUUGUGAUGAUCUGGACCGAGCAGCCAUUUGCCUGGACAGGGUCCAAUCAGACCCUGAGCUCAGGUCCUGUUCUAUUCCUGGACAGCCAUACGCCUGGAAAUCUGACCUGUGUGGCAAUGAACGAAAUAAGUGAGGAAGGCUUCAGCCCAGUUGUCCCAACAUGCAGAGGUCACAGGUCAGCUGUGGCUGCAUUUGGUCUCUUUGCAUUUGCACUGACGACACUGGCCGUCGCCAUUCUACAUUUGAAGAAGAGGCGUCAGAAAAAGAGAAAAGGUCAAAGUCAGACUGAAUAAUUCUGCAGACCUCUUGCAUCUGCUUCCAGCCAGAGAAAGAGACGACUAUCACUGGAGUUGAAUGAUAUCUAUGUAUGAAGAACAAUGUGUUAAUGGCAUUUCAAUAGCAUCGAUUUGUUUUCCAAUGUGAAGUAUGCACCUACGCACCAUAAUUACUGAUCAGUUUUUACAAUUCAUUAUGGUGUAUUUCUGCGAUAGAUGUAAUUUUAUUGCAUAGUCGUAGAGCCUAGAGAAGCGACAUAUAGGGCAUUAUUUCACCUGUAUUUUGAUAUUGUAUCAUACCCGUACUGACUUCAUUAUCAGACUGGACCACUAGGUGGAAGCAUUACAGUAUGAUAAAGAAACAGGGUGACGAGAGGUGAGAAGAAACAUCACAGGAUUACUGUCAUUACAUCAAUAGUUUGUUUCAAAACAUAUGGACGCUGCUGGGACGACUGUAAAUUAUUCCAUUUCAAACUGUUCUAGUUAUUCUUGUCUAAUGUUUGUUUAACUUCAAAAUGUCCAGAUAAAAGACUCCUGAGUGGCACAGCGGUCUAAGGCACUGUUUCUCAGUGCUAGAGGUGUCACUACAGACCCUGGUUUGAUUCCAGGCUGUAUCACAUCCGGCUGUUAUUGGGAGUCCCAUAGGGUGGUGCACAAUUGGCACAGCCUUGUCUGGGUUAGGAUUUGGCCGGGGUAGGCCGUCAUUGUAAAUAAGAAUUUGUUCUUAACUGACUUUUCUAGAUACAUAAAUAGUAUAGCCAGGGUUCUCUAUUUCUGGAUAGCUACCCUCCUGUAGGUUUUCAAUCCAAAUCUCACUUAGCACACCUGAUUCUACUAAUUAGUUGGUUGAUAAUCAGAAUCAGGUUAGUUACAACUGGGGUUGGAGUGGAAACCUACAGGAAGGUAGCUAGCUCUCCAGUAACAGGGUUGGAGUGGCAACCUACAGAAGGGUAGCUAGCUCUCCAGUAACAGGGUUGGAGUGGAAACCUACAGGAAGGUAGCUAGCUCUCCAGUAACAGGGUUGGAGUGGAAACCUACAGGAAGGUAGCUAGCUCUCCAGUAACAGGGUUGGAGUGGAAACCUACAGGAAGGUAGCUAGCUCUCCAGUAACAGGGUUGGAGAGCCCUGGCACUACAUACUACACUCAUUACAUUGUUCAAGUCACCAGUCCAGUUUCAUUACAGGUGAUGUUAGAAUGAAGAAUGUAAAAACAUGUAAAUAUUCUUACUACAAGUUUUUUUUAAGUGUCAAAUAAACUACAUAUGCAUACAUAUAAUUGUUAUAUUUGUACUAUAUGAAUUGCAAUGUCCUGAAGACAACACUAGCAUAACGUCACCUAUCUACAGUAUAUAGUCAAUUCCCCAAUUGAAUUUACAUUUUGGCACACAAAGUGUCAUUUAGCAGUGUAGCAAUGGCUCUAAUCGCAUAUUGAUUUUCAUUGCGGAUCUUAGUAAAUAGGUACAAGGACUUUAUUACAAAGUACGUUUUGAGAAGACAACUUUCUUAUCUUCUAAACGUAGUAAAGUACAUAUUUAGAUUUAUUUUCAACUAAAAUAAAUGUUUGGAUAGGUAAUUACAUUUGCAGGUUAUUUUUUCCUGAAAUAACUAUGUAAAUAAUUAGUGGCUUAACUAGUUCACAUCAAUUGUAAUAAUGAAAGUAAAUUUACUCAUUUCAAAACACUUUAUCCAAUUGUGUUAUUCUAAAAUUGGUAUAAAAAACAUUAAGGUAUUUCCAAUUUAUUUCCCUUGAUCUUCAAUAGACUUGUGUAAUAAAGAAGGAAGUAUGUCUAUUCU
rnacentral:lncRNA from 13 species